GUGGGGAAUAUUGCGCAAUGGUGGAAACCCUGACGCAGCGACGCCGUGUGAGGGAAGAAGGCUUUCGGGUCGUAAACCUCUGUCAGAAAGGAAGAACCUCCCAAGUCCGAAUAGGGCUUGGGACUGACGGUACUUUCAAAGGAAGCGCCGGCUAACUCCGUGCCAGCAGCCGCGGUAAUACGGAGGGCGCAAGCGUUAAUCGGAAUCACUGGGCGUAAAGCGCGCGUAGGCCGCUUUGUAAGUCGGGCGUGAAAGCCCUCGGCUCAACCGGGGAACUGCGUUCGAUACUGCGAGGCUUGAGUCCUGGAGAGGGUGGCGGAAUUCCGGGUGUAGGAGUGAAAUCCGUAGAUAUCUGGAGGAACAUCAGUGGCGAAGGCGGCCACCUGGACCGGUAUUGACGCUGAGGUGCGAAAGCGUGGGGAGCAAACAGGAUUAGAAACCCGUGUAGUCC
rnacentral:rRNA from 1 species